UGGCAAUCUACCUUCGAUCACUUGAGCAUUUAUGCCCAGAAGCGUCUGCGUGAUAAACUUCUUGGCAGCCAGUUCUGCAUAGACAGUUCCCGCAUCCCAGUUGGCAAAGAGCACCUUCACAAAAGUGAUUGCAUCAGGCAUGUAGGCAAAUCUAGCUUUCCACCAGGCAUCAAAGUCACCAGAACUGCAGGAAUUUGGCUCCCAAGAUGGAUAGAGAGCACCCACACUGUUGUUUAUCUUGUUCAUUGCACAUAUACAAUUCUUGUGCACCUCUAGAUCAUAUGCAUCUCUCCAGGAAGUAUCCCGGUUGCAGUAAAAGUUCAGUGGGAAGCAUACCUGCCGCCAAAUCUGUAUCAUCUAAAAUGCUCC
rnacentral:lncRNA from 1 species